UACGGAGGAUCCAAGCGUUAUCCGGAUUUAUUGGGUUUAAAGGGUGCGUAGGCGGCCUAUUAAGUCAGAGGUGAAAGACGGUAGCUCAACUAUCGCAGUGCCUUUGAUACUGAUGGGCUUGAAUGAACUAGAGGUAGGCGGAAUGAGACAAGUAGCGGUGAAAUGCAUAGAUAUGUCUCAGAACACCGAUUGCGAAGGCAGCUUACUAUGGUUUUAUUGACGCUGAGGCACGAAAGCGUGGGGAGCAAACAGG
rnacentral:rRNA from 1 species